UCUCAUUGAUUAAUUAUUGAUGAUUAAUUAACCCUCCACAUGAUUUAACCUCUAUAGAGAUGAUAUUUUAUCUAGAUCAUGUAUUUUUCAAAGGUUCAGACCAGAAAGUUUAACAUUAUUAUUUUUCUCUUUAUUGUCUCUCAGAUUGAGUGUCUGUAAUCUCUCAGAGAGAAGCUGUGAAACUCUGUCUUCACUACUCAGCUCCCAGCACUCUAGUUUGAGACAGCUUGACCUGAGUAACAAUGACCUGAAGGACUCUGGAGUGAAAGUUUUGUCUUCUGGACUGAAAAAUCCAUAUUGUGAACUGGAAACACUCAGGCUGUCAGGCUGCCUGAUCACAGAGGAAGGUUGCAAGUCUCUGGUCUCAGCUUUUAGCUCCAGUUCUUCCCAUCUGAAAGAGCUGGACCUGAGCUACAAUAACCCAGGAGAGGCAGGAGUGAAGAUGCUUGAGCAGCUAAGACUGGACACUCUGAGGGUGGAGCCUGCUGGAGUCCGAUGGUUGAGACCAGGUCUGAGGAAGUAUUCCUGUCAACU